rfam:Methanococcus maripaludis strain S2, complete sequence.
GGGCCCGUAGCUCAGUUGGGAGAGCGCCGCCCUUGCAAGGCGGAGGCCGUGGGUUCAAAUCCCGCCGGGUCCA